ACGUCAGUGGUGCAGUGACUUAGCAUAUGCUCCCGGUAAGAGUGAGAUCUGGGUUCGACUCCCGACUGACGCG